rnacentral:rRNA from 1 species
CCUACGGGUGGCAGCAGUGGGGGAUAUUGCACAAUGGGGGGAACCCUGAUGCAGCGACGCCGCGUGGGUGAAGGAGUGCUUCGGCAUGUAAAGCCCUAUCGGCAGGGAAGAAGCAAGACGGUACCUGACUAAGAAGCCCCGGCUAACUACGUGCCAGCAGCCGAGGUAAUACGUAGGGGGCGAGCGUUAUCCGGAUUCACUGGGUGUAAAGGGAGCGUAGACGGCCAUGCAAGCCAGGGGUGAAAGCCCGGGGCCCAACCCCGGGACUGCCCUUGGAACUGGGCGGCUAGAGUGCGGGAGGGGCAGGCGGAAUUCCUGGUGUAGCGGUGAAAUGCGUAGAGAUCAGGAGGAACACCGGCGGCGAAGGCGGCCUGCUGGACCGCGACUGACGUUGAGGCUCGAAAGCGUGGGGAGCGAACAGGAUUAGAUACCCCUGUAGUC